UACCCUACUGAUGAAGCGUUGUUGCUACAGUAAUCCUGCUCAGUACGAGAGGAACCGCAGAUUCAGACAUUUGGUUCAUGUGCUUGGCUGAUAAGCCAAUGGUGCGAAGCUACCAUCUGAGGGAUUAUGACUGAACGCCUCUAAGUCAGAAUCCCGCCUGGAAAGCGACGAUGCAUUCGUGCCUCGGCCUCGAGAGGCGUAGCUAGACGGCCGUGUGGCCGUGGAAAGAGCCCGAUUCCGACCCGAGAGGCCGCGGCAAGAGGCGGCCUCGAAGUCGGUGGAUCCUCCUGCUCGAAAGGCGGGGUGCUAAACCAUUCGCAGACGACCUAGUUGAAGAUCGGGGUGUCGUGAUCACUAGAGCAGUACAUCUCACUGCGAUUUGUUGAGAGUAAGCCUCAAGAUCUGUCGGUUUGU
rnacentral:ncRNA from 1 species